rnacentral:rRNA from 1 species
GUAACGCGUAUCCAACCUUCCGUACACUCAGGGAUAGCCUUUCGAAAGAAAGAUUAAUACCUGAUGGUAUGAUGAGAUUGCAUGAUAGCAUCAUUAAAGAUUUAUCGGUGUACGAUGGGGAUGCGUUCCAUUAGGUAGUAGGCGGGGUAACGGCCCACCUAGCCAACGAUGGAUAGGGGUUCUGAGAGGAAGGUCCCCCACAUUGGAACUGAGACACGGUCCAAACUCCUACGGGAGGCAACAGUGAGGAAUAUUGGUCAAUGGACGAGAGUCUGAACCAGCCAAGUAGCGUGAAGGAUGAAGGUCCUACGGAUUGUAAACUUCUUUUAUAAGGGAAUAAACCCUCCCACGUGUGGGAGCUUGUAUGUACCUUAUGAAUAAGCAUCGGCUAACUCCGUGCCAGCAGCCGCGGUAAUACGGAGGAUGCGAGCGUUAUCCGGAUUUAUUGGGUUUAAAGGGAGCGCAGACGGGUCGUUAAGUCAGCUGUGAAAGUUUGGGGCUCAACCUUAAAAUUGCAGUUGAUACUGGCGUCCUUGAGUGCGGUUGAGGUGUGCGGAAUUCGUGGUGUAGCGGUGAAAUGCUUAGAUAUCACGAAGAACUCCGAUUGCGAAGGCAGCACACUAAUCCGUAACUGACGU